GACGAACGCUGGCGGCGUGCCUAAUACAUGCAAGUCGACAUGAGUGGCGAACGGGUGAGUAAUACGUGGGUAACCUGCCCUCCUUUUUGGGAUAAGGCUUGGAAACGGUGUCUAAUACCGAAUAAAGGGGGCUGGGCUCGCGUCCUAUCAGCUUGUUGGUGGGGUGAUGGCCUACCAAGGCGGUUAAGGGUAGCCGGACUGAGCGGGUGACCGGCGACAUUGGGACUGAGCUACCGCCCAGACUCCUAAGCUGUGGAGCAUUGGGGGAUAUGGGCCAAUGGGCGAAAGACCGAUGCAGCGUCGCCGCGUGGGGGAUGAAGGUUUUCGGGUUGUAAACCUCUUUCGCUAGCGAACGGUUAGGUGGAGAAGAAGCGCCGGCUAACUACGUGCCAGCCGCCGCGGUAAUUC
rnacentral:rRNA from 1 species